UACGUAGGUGGCAAGCGUUGUCCGGAAUUAUUGGGCGUAAAGAGCUCGUAGGCGGUCUGUCGCGUUCUGCUGUGAAAAUCCAGGGCUCAACCCCUGGACCUGCAGUGGGUACGGGCAGACUAGAGUGCGGUAGGGGAGAUCGGAAUUCCUGGUGUAGCGGUGAAAUGCGCAGAUAUCAGGAGGAACACCGGUGGCGAAGGCGGAUCUCUGGGUCGUAACUGACGCUGAGGAGCGAAAGCAUGGGGAGCGAACAGG
rnacentral:rRNA from 1 species